GGAGCGGUACUCAAGUGGCUGAAGAGGACGGUUUGCUAAAUCGUUAGACGGGUAACCGUGCGAGGGUUCGAAUCCCUCCCGCUCCG
rnacentral:tRNA from 1 species